GAUCCUGGCUCAGGAUGAACGCUAGCUACAGGCUUAACACAUGCAAGUCGAGGGGCAGCAUGAAAGGAACUUCGGUUCUUUUUGUAUGGCGACCGGCGCACGGGUGCGUAACGCGUAUCGAACCUGCCUCAUACUCGGGGAGUAGCCUUGCGAAAGUAAGAUUAAUACCCGGCGGUCUCGGAUGGCCGCAUGACUAUCCGAGUGAAGAUUUAUCGGUAUGAGAUGGCGGUGCGUCCCAUUAG
rnacentral:rRNA from 1 species